UGUAAAUAUGACUGCAACUUAAAUUAGGGGUGCUCCGAUUGAUCAGCUACCAAUCACUAUCAGCCGAUAAUCACAUUGGGAUGUUUGAUCGGCGGAAGUUAAAAUUAA